UGUGCCAGCCGCCGCGGUAAUACGUAGGGUGCAAGCGUUGUCCGGAAUUAUCGGGCGUAAAGAGCUCGUAGGCGGUUUGUUGCGUCGGCUGUGAAACCUGAGGCUCAACCUCAGGCCUGCAGUCGAUACGAGCAGACUAGAGUGUUGCAGGGGAGACUGGAAUUCCUGGUGUAGCGGUGAAAUGCGCAGAUAUCAGGAGGACACCGGUGGCGAAGGCGGGUCUCUGGGCAACAACUGACGCUGAGGAGCGAAAGCGUGGGGAGCGACAGGAUUAGAUAC
rnacentral:rRNA from 1 species